AGCGAACAUGUGAUUCACUGGUCCAGGUGUGCACCGUAAUGUUCUUGAUUUUAUUGUGAGGUUAAAUAUAGCAAUAGACGCCUCACGCAAUUACCUAUCUCCACAUGUACACAGGUAUGAAUUUUGAUAGUAGCCACGUUAAUUAGGUUCUUAGGAAAUUUAGCUUCAGUAAUUGAUUUGCUCUGUAUGCAGAUCAUCCUAUCAUCCAUAGAGAUAUCAAGUCUUCCAACAUUCUCCUUACAAAGAAUCUAGGAGCUAAAGUUGCCGACUUUGGUUUGGCUCUGCUAGCAGCUGACGGUGAAUCGGGAGAGACACAUGUAUUGACCCAAGUUAAAGGAACUGUUGGCUUUGUAGACCCAGAAUACAUAAAUACCUCACUAGUUUCGGAAAAGAGUGAUGUUUAUGUUGGAAAAAAAACUGAGUUAUGGGCCGACUUUGGCACGAGUUUUGAGUGGGACCUGGUUGUUCAAUUUGGAAGAUGAAAGUUGAUUUGUGUUCUCCUCCGUGAGUACAUCGAAAUCAUAUACUUACUUACCAAAGAUGAUGCUCGAGUGAGUGAGAAAUUGAGGCUCAAAGUGUGCCACUCAAAAGAGAGUUCAUGUGGGAAAAAUGAAUUUGUCCCACAUAGGAAAAAGAUGAGAAACUCCAAAGGUCAUUGCCAUUAAUGGUAGCCUAGCCUAUAAAUAGUGACUCAUUUUCCUCAUUUCAAUACACCAACGCAAAAGCUUUCAAGUUUAGAAUACAUUAAAAAUUCAUUUGCAUAGAGUUCUGUCUUUUCUGUAUUUCUGUCUUGGUGGUAGUGUAGUUCAGGCACUAGUUCAGUAAACCGGAGUGGUUUCUAUGGUGCUCGAAAGCUACUGGUUUUACCAUCGUAUCCUGAGAAACGGAUGCUCAUUUUAAACCUCAAGCACGGACGGGGAGGGGGCGAAUCUGUUUUAAGGAAACUGUGUGUAACACAGGCCUCGGUUUGAAAUUUCAUUUCCUGCAAUUUCAAUUGUUCAUUCUGUUAUUAUCCAAUUAGUUGUACGACUAUAACUUGCUGUUACAUAUAUCAUCUUACCGGACAAAAGGCAUAUACGGUAUUAAAAUCGAGAAUACCGGAUUCCUUAUUUUUCAUAAACUUAUCGGAUUUCAGAAAAGUUCGGUCGACCGAACUGGUGAAACUUAGGAUUUUUCCUACAAGCUUAAAACAGAUUCUCAGAAAGGAAAAAUUGGUUUCCUAUAUUGAUUAAUUCUGAACUGAUUAGUUUCUUAUAUUUGUUAUAUUGUGAAAACUAAUUUGUUGUUUGGUUCUUUCAGAAGACGAAAUGGCAAUCGGUUCCACCAACAUGGAUUCCAACAUGAAUGUGUCCCAAGCUGUAGGUACCCAAACUCAGGCUGUGGGUUUCUACUAUGGGUGCAGGGCCUAGUUCGGCUAUGGCUGCAGGGCCUAGCUCAGUUAUGGCUCAGAUUGUGGCUCAAGUGCCAAGUCGUGUUGUGAGCCAACAUGUGGCUAAUGUUCCGAUUAAUGUACCGGUUGACCAUGGGGAAAAGCCGAAAAAAUUCAAUGGCUUGAAUUUCAAGAGGUGGCAGCAGAAAAUGCUGUUCUAUCUGACCACCUUGAAUCUUGCGAGAUUCUUGAUUGAAAGUGCUCCAAAACUCCAAGAGUGUGAGGUGGAUGUUCAAGCAAUCAGUGCUGUUGAUGCUUGGAACCACUCGAACUUCUUAUGCUGGAAUUACGUCAUGAACAGUUUGGGAGAUUCGCUAUACAACGUGUAUAUCACCACGAAAAUUGCUAAGGAGUUGUGGGAGUCUUUGGACUGAAAAUAUAAGACCGAGGAUGUCGGGGCUAAGAAAUUUAUCGUCGACCGAUUCUUGGACUAUAAGAUGGUGGACUCUAAAACUGUAAUCAGUCAAGUGUAAGAACUCCAAGUGAUUCUUCACGAAAUUCAUGCCGAAGGGAUGAUUCUGAGUGAAACUUUCCAAUUGGCUGCAAUCAUUGAAAAAUUGCCUCCCGCGUGGAAAGAUUUCAAGAAUUAUUUGAAACACAAGCGAAAGGAAAUGAACAUUGAAAAACUAAUUGUUAGACUUCGAAUUGAAGAAGACAACAAGAGUUCCAAAAAGAAAUGAUUCAAUCCUGGUGCGGCUAAGGCCAAUAUUGUUGAACAUGGUUAAGGUAGUAAGAACUAUAAAACAAAGCUGGGCCAUCCGGUGGAAAAGGGAUCAAGCUGAGACCAAAAGGAGGCAUUCCUAAGAAGAAAUCUUAAGGGAAGUGCUUCAAUUGUGACAAAGUAGGCCACAAAUCUUUGGAGUGCAGAUUGUCAAAGAAGAAGAAAGAAGCAAAUGUGGUUGACUACAUGGCACAUGAUGUGUCGGAGAUGAGUCUCGCAGCAGUCAUUUCUAAAGUGAACAUGGUGGGUUCUAACCCAAAAAAAUGGUGGAUUGACACCGGAGCUACGAGACAUGUGUGCUUUGAUAAAGAGUUAUUUACUGCUUUUGAAGCAGUUGAGAAUGGAGAGAAGUUGUUCAUGGGAAAUUCAGUAACUUCUGAAAUCAAGGACCAAGGAAAAGUGGUUCUGAAGAUGACUUCGUGAAAAGAGCUGACUCUCAACAACGUGCUGUAUGUGCCGAAAAUCCGCAAGAACAUUGUGUCUAGGUUGCUUUUGAAUAAGCAUGGUUUUCGCAUUGUGUUUGAGUCAGACAAGGUCAUCUUGUCGAAAAGUGGAAUGUUUAUCGGAAAAUGUUAUGUUUCCGAUGGAAUGUUUAAACUCAAUGUAAUGGUUGUUAAACCAAAAAUGAAUAAUAAAGUGAAUGCUUCUAUUUACUUGCUUGAGUCUUCCAAUGUGUGGCAUGGUAGGCUAGGACACGUUAACUAUGAUACUUUACUUAGGCUAGUUAACUUGAAAUGCAUAACAGCAUUCCAUGUUGAUUCCAAACAUAAGUGUGAGACUUGUGUUGAAGCAAAAUUGACUAGGUCGUCCUUUAAGUCAAUUGAACGAAAUAUGGAAUCACUUGAUUUAAUUCACAGUGAUAUAUGUGAUUUAAAAUUUGUACAAACAAGAGGUGGCAACAAGUAUUUCAUUACUUUUGUCGACAAUAGCACGAAAUGCUGCUAUGUGUAUUUGCUAAAAAGUAAGGAUGAAGCGAUAGAGAAAUUUGUUCUCUAUAAGAAUGAAGUUGAAAAUCAACUUAACAAGAAAAUUAAGGUGUUAAGAAGCGAUCGAGGUGGUGAGUAUGAAGCACCGUUUGCUGAAUUAUGUGCACAACACGGAAUCAUAUAUGAAAUUACAGCACCGUAUUCACCACAACAAAAUGGUGUUGCUAAAAGGAAAAAUUGCACCUUAAAGGAGAUGAUGAAUACGAUGCUAGUAAGUUCUGGAUUACCUCAGAAUAUGUGGGGAGAUGCUGUGUUAUCAGCAAAUUACCUUUUGAAUAAGGUGCCCUGAAAGAAAAUGGAGAAGACCCCUUAUGAGUUAUGGAAAGGAAGAACGCCUUCCUAUAAAUACUUACGAGUGUGGGGGUGUCUUGCUAAAGUGGCUGUUCCAACACCAAAGAAGGUGAAGAUAGGCCCAAAAACUAUAGACUGCAUAUUCAUUAGAUAUACACAGAAACAGUUGUGCUUAUCGAUUUCUCGUGUAUGAAUCUAAAAUUCAAGAUAUACACAGAAACACGAUAAUGGAGUUGAGAAACGCUUCGUUCUUUGAACAUGUGUUUCCAUGCAGGUCCAAAGAAGAGGCAAGUUCUUCUAAACGGACGUACGAGACUAUGAUUGAACAUAGUCAGUACGAAGAACCAGAAGAGGAGGUUGAGAUUGAACCUAGACGUAGCAAAAGGGAAAGGACAGAAAAAUCUUAUGGUCCGAAUUUUCUGACCUAUAUGCUAGAAAGUGAACCUCAAAGCUAUCAAGAGGCUGUGAACUCCUUGAAAGGACCUCAAUUGAAAGAGGCCAUUAAAAGUGAAAUAGAUUCUAUCCUGCAAGAUCAUACAUGAGAGCUAGUGGAUCUUCCACCAGGAAGUAAACCACUAGGCUACAAGUGGAUUUUCAAACGAAAAAUGAAAGUAGAUAGAACUAUUGAAAUGUAUAAGGCCAGGUUGGUAAUAAAAGGUUACCGACAAUGGGAAGGCCUUGAUUACUUUGAUACAUAUUCUCCGGUAACGAGAGUAACAUCCAUUAGAAUGAUACUUGUGAUUGCUGCUUUGCGAAAUCUUGAAGUACAUCAAAUGGAUGUUAAGACUACCUUCUUGAACAGAGACUUAGAUGAAAAAAUCUAUAUGGAACAACCUGAAGGGUUUUUGUCGCUAGGGCAGGAAAAGAAGGUGUGUAAAUUGGUGAAGUCAUUGUAUGGCUUGAAACAAGCAUCAAAACAAUGGCAUGAGAGAUUUGGCAAUGUCAUGAUGUAGAGUGGAUUUAAGAUCAACGAGUGUGAUAAAUGUGUUUACGUUAAAGACACUGAAAAUGGCUAUGACAUUUUAUGUCUUUACGUUGAUGACAUGCUAAAUAACGGACGUUGAGGGGGCGAAUUUGUUUUAAGGAAACUAGGUGUAACACAGUCCUCGGUUUGAGAUUUCAUUUCCUGCAAUUUCAAUUGUUCAUUCUGUUAUUAUCCAAUUAGUUGUAUGACUGUAACUUGCUGUUAUAUAUAUCAUCUUACCAGACAAAAGGCAUAUACGGUAUUGAAAUCGAGAAUACCAGAUUCCUCAUUUUUCAUAAACUUACUGGAUUUCAGAAAAGUUUGGUCGACCGAACUGGUGAAACUCGGGAUUUUCCCUACAUUUAUUCAUUCGGUGUAUUACUAUUGGAACUAGUCACAGACAAGCUUUCGAUUGAGCUAAAACGUGGUCAGGAGGAACAUAUUACUGUUAGAUGGGUAUGACCCUCUCUCUAAUGAGCAAAAUUGUAGUGAAUGAUUUCAAAAUUGAACACACCCCAUGAAGUGGGGGAUGAAUUCUUAUUUUUAUUAAUAUGUCCUCAAUUUUCAUAUAUAGAUAGUGGCGAGACAUAAUAAAUCUGCCUGCUCUAAUACUACAUUGAAUUACUUCAUCUAAAGGCUUAAGUUAUUUGUUUAGAUUUAGUCUUCAACAUCUAAUUGGACGAUUUCUUGAACAAGGACAUGUGCCUCCACUAAUUUUAGAGGGGACAAAAUAGAAUAUUGGUUUAUGUUUUCUCUGGUUGAUUUGAAUUGACUCAAGUGCAGGUUGCGAAGAAGUUUCUUGAUGGAGAUGCAAUCUUAACUUUGGAUCCUAGGCUACAGAGGUCUCCUGCAAAUAACUUUAUAGGGGAAAAGAUUCUUGAAGUAGCCUUGCAAUGUUUGGCUCCUCAUUAACAUGACCGGCCUACCAUGAAGAAGUGUACGAAGAUUCUGUGGAGUAUUUGCAAGAAUUAUGAUGAAUUCUCAACUUCAGAUAUCCCUUCGCUUUCUUCAAAUGCUCGGGGAAGUAGCUCAAUCAGAGAAGAAUAAGCAAUUCGGUGCAAGUAUUUUCAUUCACGUUACUUGCUUCCAUUGAAAAUACAGAAAGAGUACUGAAGAUGGUAAACAAGCAUACAAUGUCGUAGUGGGAAGCGAAGAAAAGAGAGAACUUGAAGGGUGUUUGGCCAAUUGUAAAGAUGUUGAAGUGAUAUUUAGUUCAUGAUGUUUGUCUUUGUUCACGAAAUUAUUUCCUUUCGAUUUAAAACUACCGCAAGUGUACAGUUUGUUAACAAAUAAUAAAGUGGAAUAUUAAGUUCUAAA
rnacentral:lncRNA from 1 species